CAACAUGGAAGUCACCUGGAUCACCAUGUAAAGGAAAUCUGCUCUCUAACCAGGAACAAACACCUGCCUUGCAAUAUUAGGUGUCGGCCUCUUGCCCCGGUCCACAGCCAGGGGCCCUGGAGCCAACGGCCAGCCUGGAAGACUUAGCGUUCUCCCUCUGAGGGUUUCUGUGGCUUUCCAUGUCGUGGUGACUAAGUCCCUGUGUUUCUGUGCAGUCCCUGCUUCCUGGGACCAGGGAAGAAUGGGAGGCCACCAGACUUUCUCUGCUUGUAUCCUCCCAGGACCACGGAACUCAUCACAUCCCAAGGCAGUCUAUUCCAUCAUGGACGAGCUCAAAGUGUUUGAAAGUUCUGCUUUAUCAAGUGAGCCAAACUUCCUCCCUCGGGACCAUCCACUCCAGGUCCCAGUUAUUCUAUUGGAGGAGCGAGGGUAAAGCCAUCACCAGGACAACCUUGGUGACAGGCUGGACUGGCAGCCAGCUUUUGAGGAUGACUUCAGGGAACCCUAAAGUCAAAUGUAUUACUCCUCUGAUGCCUACAAUUCCACUAUAAUAGUCUGGUGGGCUUCUGUUAGGAAGGCUUAUACAUGGUGGAAAGAAUAAAGGCUUGGACUCAGCCUAGGUUCAAAUACUGCAUCUUGACCUGGACUGUAGGGAAGUCUUAUCACUUCUCUGAGCUUUGGCUUUCUCAUUUGCCCAAUAGGAAUAACAAUAAUGAUAAUCAUAAUACCUCCCAUGCAGGAUUGCUAGUAUGUUCAAUGGGAUAAUAUGUCUAAAUACCUCACACAAUGCCUGGCGCAUAGCAGGUGCUCAAUUAGGUCUGUAUUAAAAUCCAGGCUCUGUCUCUUAUUA
rnacentral:antisense_RNA from 1 species